rnacentral:rRNA from 1 species
GAAUGGCAUCACGAGGGUUACACUGUCUCCUUUCUCUAAUCAGUGAAACUAAUUUUCCCGUGAAGAAGCGGGAAUAAUUCUAUAAGACGAGAAGACCCUAUGGAGCUUUAAAUAAUAUAACACUUGCUAAUUACCUAAAAUUUCCCGAUAUUUAAUCUUUAUCCAAGCAUUAUGAUUAUUAGUUUUAGGUUGGGGCGACCACGGAGAAAAAAUUAACCUCCACAUUGUAAAAAUUUAUUUUUAAGCAAAAAGUUACAACUUUAAGCAUCAAUAAAUUGACAUUUAUUGACCCAAUAUUUUGAUCAACGAACCAAGUUACCCUAGGGAUAACAGCGCAAUCCACUUUGAGAGCUCUUAUCGACAAGUGG